UACAAACAAAGUGGUUGACCAGCGCGCUUGUUCCUUGUAGGAGUGUCUUCAUGCUUGCGUUUGUUGGUAUUCCAGUAAAUGAUAUUACUUGAAUAAGUGGUUGGCUGGUGUGCUACAGAUUUCACAAGAAUAAUAAUUCUUAUGUUGAGCACUGCGGAUGAUUGGAGUAUCUUGUUAAGCUGAGGUAUGAAAAAGGAAAGCAGUUGAGUUGGCAUCCUAUUAAAAUGGAUUUGAGAGGAAACAUGCUUUUCACAGUUCGAUUUAUAACGAAACGGUAGAAAACGUGUGAAGUGAUCCAAAGGAACUGAGAGGUUAUAGCAUUCUUCUCAUCGUUGUGGAUUUCAUGAGCAAUCAAGAGAAUAUUCAAAGUUGCAUCGGGACUCGGAGAUUUGCUCACUAUAUAUGCAGGCAAUCAUUUGACUCGUGAACAGCUCUAGAGGAAGAUGCCGUGGAGAAAUUGACGAUGAUACGCUUUAACCCAAGUUUGAUGGUGAAAGUUGGAGCAGUGGACUCUCAAAUUUAGAAACCUUCUUGCCACACACUAUGUUGCUGCCUGUGCAGCAAGUGCUAGCGUAGGGUUUCAUUUUUCUCUACCACGUACGUUUUAGGCCAGAACACUGCAUCGUUGGCUGCCAAUGGCUGUUGAUUUGGAGGCUGCAGCUGUGGAAGUGGAGAGUAACUCCACUCUAUCUUUGGCGGGACUGUAGCAAAAGAAGAAGGAUUAUUCUGUGUUUGGUUUAAUAUUAUGUAAGAUGAGAGGCCAAACAAUGUUGCACAUAGACUUGCAUGAUAUCAAGAGUUGCUAUAGUUUGAAGACUCCCCUGGACAUUAUUAUGGAUGUUUAGUUAAUACAAGCUAGAUAGUCAUAACUUGUAAUUUGUUGGUGUGGUACUCUUUUUUCUUCAACUGGGUUGAAAUCUCCCACAAGAUUUUGAUGAGGCGAAUCUUUGACACCCUAAAAAACUUUAAUCUUAGUAAUAGUCAUAACUUGUAAUGAUUACUUUUAAGUUUUCUCAUGAACCAUA